rnacentral:rRNA from 1 species
CAGGACGAACGCUGGCGGCAUGCUUCAUACAUGCAAGUCGAACGAUAAGGUCUCUUCGGAGAUACAUAAGUGGCGGACGGGUGAGUAAUAUGUAGGAAAUCUGCCCUAGAGAGGGGGACAACAGAGGGAAACUUCUGCUAAUACCCCAUAUGAGCGUACCUGAAAUGGUAUUCUUGAAAACUCCGGUGCUCUAGGAUGAGCCUGCAUCUGAUUAGCUUGUUGGCGGUGUAAUGGACCACCAAGGCGACGAUCAGUAGCUGGUUUGAGAGGAUGAUCAGCCACAAUGGGACUGAGACACGGCCCAUACUCCUACGGGAGGCAGCAGUAGGGAAUUUUGCGCAAUGGGCGAAAGCCUGAACCGCAGCAAUGCCGCGUGAACGUAGAAGCCCUUCGGGGUGUAAAGUUCUGUCAGUGGGGACGAAUAAUGACGGUACCCACAGAGGAAGCACCGGCUAACUCCGUGCCAGCCGCUGC